CCUACGGGAGGCAGCAGUGGGGAAUAUUGCGCAAUGGGCGAAAGCCUGACGCAGCGACGCCGCGUGAGGGUUGAAGGUCUUCGGAUCGUCAACCUCUGUCAGCAGGGAAGAACGGUCACUGUGCUAAUCAGCAGUUAAUUGACGGUACCUGCAAAGGAAGCACCGGCUACCUCAGGUCCAGCAGCCGCGUUAAUCCGGAGGUUGCGAGCGUUAGUCGGAUUUACUGGGGGUAAAGCGCUCGUAGGCGGUAUGUCAAGUCAAGCGUGAAAUUCCCGGGCUCAACGUGGGAACUGCGUUUGAAACUGGUAAACUGGAGUGUGGGAGAGGAUAGUGGAAUUCCAGGUGUAGGAGUGAAAUGCGUAGAUAUCUGGAGGAACAUCAGUGGCGAAGGCGACUAUCUGGCACAUAACUGACGCUGAGGAGCGAAAGCGUGGGUAGCAAACAGGAUUAGAUACCCCUGUAGUC
rnacentral:rRNA from 1 species